rnacentral:misc_RNA from 1 species
GUGCAAGAAUCAAAGGAUUCACUGAGAGCAUAAACGCACGAGUAGUGUUCUCCCCCUUUUCCGCUGCACCAGUGGAGCUUAACGACGGCGCAUCGUGACGCACGGCCACUCGUGCACACGCAGCAGGGUCACCGCCUUUGCAAACGCCGUCACUUACUUCUUUCUGCAUUUUUUUUUGCCCGCUUCACGUGUACAACCCCCUUUAUUUGUCCUUGUAGAUCGAAUCUGAAUAGACAACGCAUCACCCCCUUCAGAAGGAAGGCUUCUUUUUUCAGUCUCCACCGUUGGCCUCGUCCGCUCCGAGUGCAGUAGCAGCAGCAGCAGCAGCACACACCUUUCACCUCUCCCUCUGUGCACCCGUUCUGCCAGACGAUUCUCCACGACCAACGAACGCAGCAGCGCCGCCGGGCGCAGCACAGACGAUGGGCUGCGUGAACUGCAAAAGGGCAAAAAGGCGGAAGGAUCGCCCCACGCUUGUGGAAGCGGCGGCGCGUGAGACGGAAAGGGAGCGCUGGGCUGCAGCUGAGCAGGGGCUUGCGGCACAGGACCUCUACACAUCCGUCCAUGCUGCGAAUUCGCUCCCUUUAACUGAGCGUGAGGAUGCCAUGCCGCUGCCGACGGCACCGAGCCCUUUAGAGAAUGUGCAACAGAUUUCAGCUGCUGCUGCUGCUUCUCCCGGAGAAAUGGAGAAUAGUCUAGGAUGGAACUCAAAGAAGAAGGGCAACAUCCAAGCCACUGCCAAGGCGGAUAACGACAACACUACGGCGGCGUUAGCCAGAGCAUCCAGGACAACGGCUCCGUUAGAGUCCUCCAGGGAAACGCCCAAAGGACGCAGGGGCAAGUAUCAGUACCGCCGUCACCCCGAGGUCAGCUCGCGGAGUGACGGAUCGCUACCUCUUCCAGCAGAUGCCGUGGAAUCUGCGAAGAGCCGAGACAGCAGCAGCAGGAGCACUAGGGGCAGCAGUAGCAGCAGCAGCAGUGCACAAGCGCACAAGAGCAAGAAAGGCGGAGAGGAAACGAAGAAGCACGGCAGCUCCGGAAGCAUAAGCGCCGCAGAGGUUUGUCCGCAGGAGAGCAGCGGUGACUCCGUCGCGCAAGGGCACCUUCACAGCGCAUCUCACUCACAAACGGCAGCAGUGGGGUUGCCUAUUGACGGCCUGACAGCAGCUGGCACAACAAGCUCCACCAACUCGCACCAGACGAGGCAACCGAAGAUGUACCACCGCAGCAGCAACGUAUCAUCGGAUUUACGCAGUAAUGCAACGCCUCCGGGGAUGGAGACAAAGGUGUACCCGAGCGCGGACGCCCUGGAUGACGGCGCCAGCGAUGGGGGCAGCACCAGCCAUGAUGUCCCAGCCGCGAUACCAGCGCCGAAUACCAGCGUGGAAAGUGGAGGUGCAGCGGCUGAGGCCUCCUUCGUGUCUAACCGAGCGCCUUUUGAGCCGUACAGCGACUUGGAGCCACGUGAUGCGACCGACUAUUUACCCCCAUAUGAGUGGGCGCCACGGACGCUCCCUGUGCCGUCUCCCCUGCGGGCCUGCGGCCCAGUCGACAUGGCGCAGUGGGAGGACGGGGAGAGUCAGUUUUGUGGGCUAGCCGCCGCGGGUACGACCGCUCGUUUUCAGGACCCUAUGGUAAGCGUCUCUGUUGAGGGUGCCAGGACGUCUGACUCUGGAGCGGCCGAGGGCAAUGACGGCGCUUCUCACCCCCUCUCUCUGCACACAUUUUACCCUCGCCUGCCGCCAGCGCAGUGGGCCUCGUCUAGGAGCGAAGACUGCGCCAACAGACCUGAAGCAUCCGCAGGGGCAUUCGACUACCCGCAUUUACCGGUGAACGCAUUCAUUCAGAAAGCGCAUUCCAAUGAGCAGCAGCCGACGUACCAGGCAAUUUACGAAGGUGAUGAGAGUGUCCACUACUCUCCUGCCGAGUACCCCUCGAACGAAGCGACGCCACGACGGACAGUGCCGCCGUCUCUUGUUGAUGUACAUGUCUCCGAGGCGGUCGGCUACGCAUCGCCGCCGCCCGUGAACACUGCGUACUCCUUUUACCCUUCUCGUGCCCUUUUGCCGAUGCAUCACAGGCACGCGGUGCCUGACGGUGGCUCCAGCAAGCCUAUGGCUUACUCGCAUGCCCCUCCCGCGAUAACCACAUCUGCCCCGCAAAUCUAUCAAGACGGCAACCGCAGCCGCAGCGGUAACAUCAGCGUUGUUGGCAUCGGCGGAGGCGUGCAUCCGCAUAAACCUGUCUCGUACCUCUUCGAUAGUUCCAUGGAUGACUGGCUGCAAUCGUGGCAUGCACAGCCGCCGCAGCGCCAGCUGUACAGUAAGUCGGUCGGCAUGUGGUGAAAGCAACGGACCAGUGAGCAAAAGUGGGAGGGGUGGUGGGGGGCGAAUACCCGAAAAGGCAUACGCGGCGGGAGGCGGUGGACCAACGAAGACGGGGUGUGAGGGCAAGCUUUGCUAAGCGAGCGAGGAAGGAAUACAGACGUCGUGAUCUGUGUGAGCGAGUGAUCAUGUUUGCUAUUCCUCCUGUUUCGAUUCUCCUCGGCGCUACUCGUUAUCCCGCCCAUGCCUGCCUCCUUUUUGCCAUAUUAUUUUUGUUUUGGUCUGGAGCAUACCCUCCUUCGCUUCCUCUGCUUCUCGCUCAGCUGCAAAGGGCGUCUCGUUUAUGAGUACUGUUUCUCUCCUUCACUCCACACCCCUCCUGCACUUACGGCGACACCCUGGCAUCACCACCACCUCAACUGCCCCAG